CCUACGGGAGGCUGCCGUGGGGAAUCUUGGGCAAUGGGCGCAAGCCUGACCCAGCAACGCCGCGUGAAGGAAGAAGGCUUUCGGGUUGUAAACUUCUUUUCUGAGGGACGAAGAAAGUGACGGUACCUCAGGAAUAAGCCACUGCUAACUACGUGCCAGCAGCCGCGGUAAUACGUAGGUGGCAAGCGUUAUCCGGAUUUAUUGGGUGUAAAGGGCGUGUAGGCGGGAAAGCAAGUCAGAUGUGAAAACUCAGGGCUCAAACCUUGGCCUGCAUUUGAAACGGUUUUUCUUGAGUGCUGGAGAGGCAAUCGGAAUUCCGGGUGUAGCGGUGAAAUGCGUAGAUAUACGGAGGAACACCAGUGGCGAAGGCGGAUUGCUGGACAGUAACUGACGCUGAGGCGCGAAAGCGUGGGGAGCAAACAGGAUUAGAUACCCCAGUAGUC
rnacentral:rRNA from 1 species